GGUUGAUCCUGCCAGUAGUCAUAUGCUUGUCUCAAAGAUUAAGCCAUGCAUGUCUAAGUAUAAGCAAUUUAUACAGCGAAACUGCGAAUGGCUCAUUAAUUCAGUUAUGAUCUACACGGCAUCAAAUCUACCACCUGGAUAACCGUGGUAAUUCUAUAGCUAAUACAUGCGAGAGAAAUGGCGACUUCGGAAGCCAUGCAGUUAUUAGAUACAAGCCAACUUGGGGUAAAACCCAGUUUUGGUGACUCAUAGUAACAUGCCGAUCGAAUUGUGUCGACAGCACGUUUGAUUUU
rnacentral:rRNA from 1 species